AUGGCUGUCCUGGUGCUGCUCCUCUGCCUGGUGACCUUUCCAACCUGUGUCCUGUCCCAGGUGCAGCUGAAGGAAUCAGGACCUGGCCUGGUAAAGCCCUCAGAGACCCUGUCUCUCAUCUGCACUGUAUCUGGGUUCUCAUUAACCAGCAAUGAUGUACACUGGGUCCACCAGCCUCCAGGAAAGGGUCUGGAGUGGAUGGGAGGAAUAGCUUAUAAUGGAUACACAGCAUAUAAUUCUGCUUUCCAAUCCCGAAUCAGCAUCAGCAAGGACAACUCCAAGAGCCAAGUUUUCUUAAAACUAAACAGUCUGCAACAUGAGGACACAGCCAUGUAUUACUGUGCCAGACACACACUGAGGAACUCCUGUGUGAGCCUGCACAAAAACCUCCCUGCAGUGACACUCAGGACCAGCAGGAGGCACUGA